GGAUCAAUUUAUUGGUCGUGCUAUUGUACGUACUGGUAUUAUUGAUUCCUACCUUCUGACGAACCAUGAUGUCAUUAAUUUGGUGUCAUGGGGAAUCAGGACUGUUACUUUGAAAAAAUUAGAGUGUUUAAAGCAGGCUCACGCUUGAAUACAUUAGCAUGGAAUAACGAAAUAGGACGU
rnacentral:rRNA from 1 species